UUCUUGGAACUAGACAUUUACUUAGACAAACAAAAUGUGCCGCAGGGUCUCCUGGAUGUCCCUAAACAGUUGAGCCACCAACCCUCUCUCUACCUCUAUUUAAAGGGGUUCAUUUGCAUAGGGGCUUGGGUUUUAGUUGUGGUUAUUUUUUCUGAAUUUCUCUUGCUAUCUAUAGGAGGCAGGUGGAGGGAGGUGGCUGAGUGGGCACCUAAGGCAGAGGGGAAGAAAGAGAGGGCGGGGGCAGUGGGUGUAAGCCGGGGCUGCGAGAAAACGCUGAAGGCACAUUUCAGACAAUGGCACGUGUGGAGUCGAGCACAAGCAGAGCUGGUCAGGGUCUGCUGCACCCAGCUGCUUCCAGGGGAUGCUCUUGUUUCUGUACAGAACAGCGUCCCUCGCUGUGGUGGGGGCGUGCCCAGGACAGCAGCGGCCCUGUUGUACUCGUCUCACCAGUAGUCGCCAGGAGAAAACAGACCUUGAUGAGGAAAACAGAGCAGGACUGGAUCCUAAGCACAUGCCACACCCCGGUCACUACCACUAUCUUUUCCUUCUCCUGGUGGCUAGACCUGAAGGCCACUGUUGAGUUGACAUGGGGGCUGCCUGGACUCUGCGGCACUGUCUGAGAAGCCUCUCUAGACCCUCUUCCAGACUCUGCUCUGAGCCUCUCCUCAAUGGGCCUUCCACUCUGGGUCACUCUGGACUCCCUCCCUACCCAUCUUUAAGAAUAGGAG